rnacentral:ncRNA from 1 species
AGAUAGAGGCGCGUGCGUCAACAGUAAUUCCGCCGUAAAAGGCUGAAUGGCGGAACGAAAGGGGCUCACGCCGAAGAAAAGGCGGCUGCCUUGGCUGCCGAUUCUGGUACGCGGGGAAAUACGUCGCGUACUGUCAUUGGAAGAUUCUUCUUGUGGAGCGCUAUCA